AAGAAGAAAGAAAGAAAGAAAACCCAUAUAUAUGAGACAGGCUUGGAUAUUGGACCAGAGGAGAGAUCAGUCCCAGGAGGAUGUUGGUACAGGAAAGGAGGCGGCUCUCGUUGCUCUGCCAGUGUAAUGAUGGUGCUCACACAUGUAGGACUCCUCGGGUGCGGGGUAUCCUUUGGUCUCUGGGCUAAACUGGCUACAAGGCAUUCAAUUAAGAUUUUUGAUUCGUGUUGAUGGAAGAUAUGGAUGUUUCAUGACUGCUUCCAGUAAUCACUUGGCCAGAAGUCCUAGGAGCAUCCUGGAACCCCACCCACCCUGCCAGACAAUGGAUCAGCACAGGAUACAAAAACUAUGCUUACCAUAAGGAAUUGGUGAUCUAAAGAAGGUCAAUUUCAUGGUACAUGGCUUCAUUUUCAUACAAAUAUACAUUCUAGUGUAUUUUCACAACCUAUACUCAUUACAUAUAUAUAAUGUGUAUGUCAUUACAUAAAUAUAAUGUGUAUGUGUAUAGUAACUUCAGCAGAAUUUAUACGGUGAAUUUAGAGUGCAGAUUUUUAAUAUCCCAUUUUAAGAAUUUCUGAUUCUCUGAAAGUAGUACUAUCAGGUUAUAUUUAAGUAAGAAAAACUACCUGGGGUUAAGUUCACUGUCUGCUUUGUGGUGGGUUUUUGUUUCAGAAUUAACAGAGUUUAAUAACACAGUCUGGAAUCUCCUUGCAAUGAAAAGUGCUUGCACAGACCCUCCUCCUGUCAAGAGUUCUAAUGGCAACCUGUGACCCAGCUGAAAUUGAAAGUCCUGUGGCAUCCUUGAGUAGAGGGACAAUGUUGGUCCUUCAAUGCCAUGGACUGAAGCUGUUCUGUGCUCUGCAUUUGCAGAACUCACUUGCCUCUGCCAGAAAAUGAAAGUUUCUCUCCUCUGGUGUGGAGACACCACAUCAUUGCCUUGCUGGCUUGAUUGCUCUGCAGCCAGCCUGAAACAAUACACCACCAACAGAUGUGUGAACAUUUCCAUUCAGUGGAAUGAAGUGUUUGCUGCAAAACAGAGUUCUGGCUAUUUGAAUUGCCUCAUGUGCAUCAAGCUGUGAAAGAGGUUUAAAGUAAAUCAUGAAUAUCAUAAA